UAACUUACAGCAUCAUUGCCAUAAGAC
rnacentral:piRNA from 1 species